rnacentral:rRNA from 1 species
GUAACAAGGUUUCCGUAGGUGAACCUGCGGAAGGAUCAUUGUCGAGACCUGCCCAGCAGAAGGACCGGCGAAC